rnacentral:tRNA from 1 species
GCGGGUGUAGCUCAAUUGGUAGAGCGCGACUUUCCCAAAGUCGAGGCAGCCGGAUCGUAGCCGGUCACCCGCUCCG